rnacentral:lncRNA from 1 species
GCUCUUAAAAGACAACUUUCACAGAAGGCUUUUUAUAGGUGCCCAUGGUGGGAACUGGCAAAGCAAAGAUCGAAAAGGAUGGAAUGAGGAAAGAAGUGAGUCUUUAGAGGAGAUGUGGAAGCUCCCCGUUGCCUCCUCUCCUCACUGGGCAGUGAGCCCAGGAGGCAGCACCCUGCACGGUCACCUGAGACUGGACCUGAGGCUGGGGGAGGCACUUCUGAGGCCAGACCUGGUGUUACUGUGGGGGCUGCAGGGGAUGGGUGCUGGGGUGCAGAUGACAAGCAGGCUAGAUGGACGUAAAGGCAUGGCCUGAAACGUGUCGGAGGGAACAACUCUUCUCUACUCCAAACUUCCUUUCCACAUGUGGGUGAGAAAAGUCCACUUAAAAUCUCCAGCCCCUGCCUUUCCUCUCUAUCCUCGGAAAUCUGUCCAUGCUCCAGGCCACGAGUACCCAUCCCAGCGGGGGAAUAAGACCUACCUAUCCCCUGUGAUUCCUGACUUCAUGCCACUGCCCUGGAGAAUAGCACAGGCUAAAGGUGCAUUUGCAUACGGAAUAAAUGCAAGGAGGCUGCUGCUUUGACCUUGCCUUAUUCAACACAGAGACUGGAGGCUAUCCUAAAAGAGCUAAGGCCAGCAUGAGAACAAAUGAACCACAGGGCAUCUACUGUCAACUGGAGAAGACCCGUGAAAGCAAUAUUUCUAAAACAGCAUGAUAGCAGCUUUGAAAAUCAAAGCAGGAGGACUUCCUGGGACUUCAUGGAAAGAACCAUAACAUCUAGCAGGUCCCACUUCAUGGAAGUCUUUGGCGGGGGGAGUGUCACCUCUGAAGUAUCUUCAAGUCUUUGGACUUUGCACUGUGCACAGCAAGUUUUCUUGCUGGAGAGAAACCAAGCCCUUCACUGACACUACUUUCAGUGUUCACAACGCACUCCAGGGGAGGGGCUGUCAAUCAGGCUUCGGGGUAAGUGACCUCACUCGGGCCAGUUAGAAAGUCAGUGGCACAUCUGGAAGCAGAAGACUCC